rnacentral:rRNA from 1 species
CACGUAAGGGGCAAGCGUUGUUCGGAAUUAUUGGGCGUAAAGGGCGCGUAGGCGGUUUUGCAAGCCUGGUGUGAAAGCCUGGGGCUCAACCCCGGAACUGCAUUGGGAACUGCAAGACUUGAAUCAUGGAAGGGAAACUAGAAUUCCAGGUGUAGGGGUGAAAUCUGUAGAUAUCUGGAAGAAUACCGGUGGCGAAGGCGAGUUUCUGGCCAAUGAUUGACGCUGAGGCGCGAAAGUGCGGGGAGCAAACAGG